GCUGCUAUUCCCGCUGGGGUAGGUUCUGCAGACCCCGGGCCGUGGAGCCACUCACCAUUUCCGACGGAUGGGCCGGAGGGGCCACCGGCCGCACCAGCCAGGGUCUCGGUACCCUGCAAGGAGAGAAAGGUGCUGGGCCAGGUGUCACCGGAGACAAGCAGCACACGACUGCCCCUGCCCACCUCCACCUCAGCCCUGACCCUCCCUGCACCUGGGAGUCCACUGUCUCCUGAUGUAUCUGAUCAGGGGCGGCCACAAGAGCACAUAUUCCGGGACGUGAUAUGUGUGGCCCAUGUUGGGGAAGAGCUGUCAUUGUUCACUGCCAUGUCCCCAAUGCUUAGCACCAUUUGUCGCAUGGGAAGUACAGGUUAACAACCCACUAGUGCCCAGUGGCCUGGGGGACACCUGACCUUCUGGGGCCUGUUGGCUGACAGGUGGGAGGGACUGCCAUCCAUCGUUGGGGCCAAGGAUGCUGCUCAACCUCCCACAACACACAGAGCGGCCCGGCCGCAAACACCAACUGCCGAGGUGACACCCUGCCCCGAGGGAAGCGGACAAGGCUUGAGCAUCGAGAACACUGCAAGGGUCUCAGCCAGUGAGGGCUGCCUGGGCCCCACCGCAGGCCUGACUCCUAGAGCCAAGCCGUUUUCUCCCUUGAGGCAGUGGGUAGAGCUCUCAUGUGACAACCUUGAGUUUGCAGCUCGGCUGUGCACACAGGUGGACCCUCCGUGCUUUGUCAGUUCAUACUGCUUGGCCCUGGGGCCAAAAGCCGGUUCCCAGGCCUCACUCUGAGAAGCAUCUUCACGCCCUGGGUGGGUCCACUGCCUCUUCCCGCCGACUCUGCUCCUUGGGAAGAGCAUGUUCAUCAGCAUGGCCAGGCAGGGAGAGCUCAGGACAGCCAGACCCGGGGCCAGUGGCACAGGUAUGUGUGGGAAGGGGCACCAGGGGCCUGUCCUCCCUGCGGGCAGAGCCAUCUGUCCUCUGUGGACCUGCAGUUUCUGUAAACAUCUGGAAGGAGCCAGGAAGCAGCAACUCCGGAUGCCCAGAGGAGCCCCAGCCAAGGCGGAUGCGGCCAGGACAUCAGGCCGUGGGGCUGGGCAAGGGGAGCCGAGCCACAGGCUGGAAAGGCAGGGGUGCACGGCAGAUGGGGAUGCUGAAGCCAGAUGCUGACCGAGCUCCACCCACAUUUGUGAGGGGCGUGGGGGCUGCGCCCUCAGAGGCCUUAGCUGGCUCCGGGCUUGAAUUGCGGGUCCCAAGAGCCAGAGUGCUACUCCCACGCUGCCGUGGUGUGCCGUGUGGCCUCAGGCUGAGCCUCCUGUGUUUCUGUAAAACAGCGCUCUCGUGUUAUUAUAUGAGAACCGAAUUCAAGGUCCUAGAAGUCCUCGCAUGGGAAAGGAAAAGUCGUGGUUUGAUAAGCAAUACACUCUGGCUGAGCCCAAGUCAAGAUUUUCAACCCAAGUUCAUCAGCGCCCAGCUUCAGCCGGGACUGCUCUGGCCGCACCUACUCUGUGAGCUGGCGCUUCUGAUUCAACACCACACUUGGUGCAAGGGUCCCAGAACAGCUGAACUGAGUCACCGACCGCGGCUCUUCCUAGAGGCCCACAUUCGGGAGAGGUGAGGCUGCGGGGCUGGGGCCCUGCGCUAAUACUCCCUGGCUUUGUGACCCUGGGCAAAUUACUCAGUCUCUCUGAGCUGCUGCUUCCUCUCCUAUGGAGUGGGCUGAUCCCAGCCACACCAGCACCCCGGUUGUUCCGUGGUUAAUGUCUGCCAAACACCGUGCCGUGGAGAACACCCAGCAGAGCCCGGCUCCUUGUUUGGUGGGGAGGGACAGCGCUGCAGGGACACCUCCCCCAGCCCUCGAGUGCCUUUCCACCUUGCUUCCGGGACCCCUGUGGCUCAGAGGCGGUGCAGGUGGGCUUCAGCAACAGGGAGGGCCCAGGCCAGCACACAAGGAAGGAGGGAAGGCGCCAGGGAUCGCCCCCCUCAGGAAGGAGAGAGACAGAGGCAAAGAUAGGAAGGACACGCACUGCUGCCUUGUCACUUGGGGAUUUUCAAGUCAAAAUGGGGAGGGGGUGGGGGUAGGUUUGGAAACUAUCUAAAUGGCAUUGUUUCACAUUGCUGGCUGGGGGCAACCCUCUGCAGUGACCCUAAAUACCCACUAGAGGUCACACCGCAAAAAGGGACCUCCCCUAAGGAGAGGGGACAAAGGGAGGACCCCGGGCACCCCACCCCCUGCAAGGGGAGGAAGGCUGAAGCCCUGCCAUCCAUGGGGUGGGCAAAGUGCCAUGCCUCCAAGGGCAGCACAGCCAAGAAGUCCCCAGAGGGAGGAGUGAGCUCCAUCUGGGCCCAGGUGACCCAGCCACAAUCCCUUCUCAGCCUCCGCCUCACCCACUGGUAUUAGGCACGGCCAGCCUAGGCAGCCACCAGCCCUCACUGCCCAUCUGCUAUCCCCUCAACCCCAGCAGCAGACAGAAAAGCCCAAGGUCUGAGCACCUAGGGGGAUGCUGGUGUCAGAUCCCUGGAGCACAAAGCCUCUGCCCUUGUGUCUAGGUGAGGCUGCGGUACCCAGGCCCAGAGCAGGUCCCCCCGGCUGGGCUGUCCACACUCAGAGCAAGAGGAGAACUGCAGCAGGCAGCAGCCUUCCACUCGUUCCCCAUGACCUGAUUUUUUUUUUUUUUCAUUUUAAAAUAAGAGAAACGUAUGAAAGAUGCCGCAUUUAGUCCCUUAUCAGAUCCACACUCCCCCCGUGACCUGGGAAAUGGGGGCGUCUCCAGUCUGCGGGGUACAGGAUCGCGUCCAGACAGGAGGCUGCAUGGUGCUGCUUGCAGCGAGUGACUCGUUUGUUGUUGGCACGCCCCGUGCAGCUCAGGAUGACCCCAUGGCUUGGCCCCGGGACAGGACCCAGGCCCCAGGAAAUAGCAGCAAACCUGAAAGUAGAGAAGGAAGCGCCCACCGCCGGAGACCCACAAUCGCCUGCUCUCCCUGGAGGGCGCUCAGGGCCCAGGAAGCAGCCGCAGCUGGCAGGCCAUGCGGCAAACCUGAGACCAGCAGAGAUGGCAGUGGGUGGGCCUGCAGGUCACUGCCCCGGGCACUGUGUCUGCCUGAGGGGCUUGUUUCUGAACCACACAGAAAGGGCGGGGGGGGGGCUCGUAAUCAAUGGUAUCAGGAUCAACAGGUGAACAGACGCUAGUUCUGCCGUGUGAGCCUUAAUCUUUUUAAAGCAAGAGUUGAAGUUCUACUGACACUUCUAGAUGUGACCAUACUAUUCCUACGCGUAUCUUCAGCUUUUCACCACACGUGAAUUGAUAAAAAUUAAGUAUUUGCAUUUUUAUGUGUUACACCAUCUCUCACUUGUUUUGCAACGGAACAAGGCUGUGUGCCCGUCUGCCAGGUGACAGCAUGGGUGGCUCCCCCGUAGUCCACCCGCCUCCUUCCGGCCUGUGACAGGUGUCACAGUGUAGCAAUGAACAUCCCUGCUUGGCGCAUGCCCGGGCCCUCAGGACGCAAUUGCCAAUCCCGGGGCCCAUGUCCUUGGUGUCAAUGAGCUAGUACCAGCUGUCCCCAAAACAGCUGUCCCACCUGCGUUCCUGUUCCCCGGCAUCACUGCCAACACUUGGAAAAUCACACUUGCCAAUUUCUGCCAGUCGAUGGUGUACUUUGAGUGCAUUUCCAUGGAAAACAUCCUUUUUCUACAAUUCCAAGCUAACAGCAUUAAUUAGCAGCAGUGAGUCACGGGGAGGCUGGGAUGAGAACAGGAGGUACUUUCGCUGUCUAUGCUAAAUACUUGAACUGUUUACAAGAACGUAUUACUUUAGUAAACAGAAAAGAAAGAUCAAUGAGAUCCUCACUUCAUCUGCCUGGCUCUGAGCACACUCCCUCCCGUAUCUAUCCUGGUCGCAGAUAAUGCAAUUCACUUUGGCUUAAAUCUAAGAAAACCCACUGGGGUCCAAACCCCUCAGGGUCCCUGGGUAGGGACUGGAGAUACCUCUGAUGCCAGGUCAAAGGGAAGGACACAGGGACACCCACUGUCUGGGCUCCAAGGCAUCCCUUCAAUGCUCCCUUCUGUCAACGCAGGAAAUCUGACGCUUUGUCAAGAAGCUAGGAAGUCUGGGUUCCCAGGCCGACAGCCCGCAUGGCUUAAGGCUCUCGCCUCCAUCUGACUCAUGUUCCCAAAGAAACAAAUCACAAAACACACAACAAGCCUUCAAAAACAGAUUUACUUAAAACUGCGAGGAGAAACACAAGUGCGUGGGUGCAGGUGGCGGCUGCCAGGCUUGCUCCGGUCCUACCCAGUGGGUGCCUACCCGGGCAGGGCACAGCUCCUGCUGCAAGGUCACCUUACCAGGGGGCGCGGAGGGGCUCACGAUCGGAUGGCACAGUGCUUUCCUAAUGCAGGCAGGCUACAUGGCCUCCAGGAACCACCAAAUGCAGAAUCAGGCCAAAACCACACGGCUCUGACCCCCUUGUGCUCUGGCUAGUCUCCCAGCCAGCAGCCCCGGAGGGCUGGCAUACAGGCCACUGAGCUGUGGGUGACACGGGUUAUUCCACGGUUUGCAGAGUCUCAUUCCCAUUCAAAGUGCAGGCCAAGGCUGGGCGCAGUGGCUCACGCCUAUAAUCCCAGCACUUUGGGAGGCAGAGGCGGGUGGAUUACUUAAGCCCAGGAGUUCAAGACCAGCCUGAGCAACAUGGCAAAACCCCAUCUCUACAAAAACAAGUUAGCCAGGUGUGGUGGUGGUGGGUACCUGUGGUCCCAGCUAUUUGGGAGGCUAAUGUGGGCAGAUGGCUUGAGCCUAGGAGGUCAAGGCCUCAGUGAGCGGUGAUCAUGCCUCUGCACUCCAGCCCAGGUGACGGAGCAAGACCCUGUCUCAAAAAAACAACAAAAAAGUACUAGCCGAAUGGAAAUUAUCUGCUGCUUUCUUCUCUAAAUAAUUCUGAGGAUGCGUAGUCAAAUGAUGUCCCUGGUCUCUUCCCAGAGUAAAGACAGGCUGGGUCACGUUAACACUGGACUUGAUCGUGAUUCAAGGAGUUUUAUUCUCAGGGCAGGUGAUGGUUCUAUGAGCACAUUCCCAUAAGUGUUCUUAAAAGUUACACCAUGAAGGUAGCAACCAGAAUGGAAACAUCCUAGAAGAGCCUCACUGCUUUCUGCAGAGCCUUGGACGGUGGACCACAGCUCAGUGUCUCCUGUUCGCACCUGAGACCCCACAGCCAUGAGGACAACACAAGCUUGGAAGAUGCAUGUGGGCGCGUUCUGAAGUAACCAAGGGGCUGAGGAGGUUCUGCUGCUGUCCGUGACUCCCAUGAGCACUGAAAAUGGCCUAACCAUGUGUAGGCGAGAAAGCCUGGGGGUGAACAAGCCCUGAGGAGUCAGGAAAGCCAGAGCCAGUGGCUGGAGGGCCCUCGCAGGCGGUUGCAGCACAACUGCAGGUUCCCAGAGAAAAACCUCCAGCUCCAACCCGGUUCUGCACAAAGGUGAAAUGGAGUGGCCAGCAGGGCAUGUGGCUAGAGGAAGGCCACGGCCGCCCCCGCCCCCUCGUGUGCCAGGUGGGCUUGCUAGGGAUGCAGGUGCCCAGUGUCAGGGCAGGGACACCACAGAGCCGCAGCCGGACCAAAGGGGCCCAGGGCAUGGUCAGGAACAAGGAAUAAGGGAGCCUGAGGUUCUCCCGCCACCAGGCCCGCAAAGCCACUCACACACAGCAGCGGACACCGAGGUCAGGGCCCAGGUGGGCUGAGGGACCCCAAUACCACUCACCUUGAAUCUCAGCCUAUAGAAGUCAUUUGCAACUUCCUCGUGCAAACAUUCACUGCCGGUACAGAAAAGCUUCCAGUGACCUGUUUGAAAUCUUCAAUCACAUCAUUUCUAAACGAGUGACAAAAAGCACGUCCAGGCGUGUACAGCUGCACUGCAGGCAGCCCCACUCCAGAGAGCAGACCUGAUCCUGCCCCAGAGGAGUGGCACAGCGAGGGAAAGGCACCCGUGGUGCAAACGGUGGACAGCCCCAACCUCCCAGCUCCACCUGCCACCUUCCCCUAUCAAGCCCAAUGCGCUUGGCUGUCCUGAACUGGCUUACUCAGCCUCCUCCUUGGAAAUGGUUUUAUCCAACUCUCAGCUGCCCUUAGGCCUCCGAUGAUAUCAGCCCUUCUGAGUUCUCACCUGCAGCUUCCCAAGAGGGUGGAUGCCUUCCCCCAUAAGGGAAGCUGCUGUGUUUUGAGACACGCAGAUUCUAUGCAUGUCCCUACAGAACCGGAGCCAAGAACUGGAUAAGAACGCGUUGGAGUGGAAAAAACAAGGCCUGUAGUCACAACUGGAGGGACUGGCUGUGCGGCCAAAAAGGCCUCCCUUUCCUGGCUGUGUAGCUCUGGCCCUGCCUGGCAUCACCGCAGGUCACCACCACGGACAGACCCCCCAACACACACACCAGGAGCCACAUGAGCUGACCACAGCCAUGGCUUAAACAUCAUGGGUGGAAGCCAUUUCUAUACCCAAACACUGGAAGCGCACGUGAGAUCUGAGAUUCCUUUAAUCAGAAGCACUCGUCUCCUGCAGUGUGCUCUUCAAGCCCCAGAGGGUGCGCCUCUGAUGGACUGGGUCUCUUAGAGCCAGCCUCG